rnacentral:rRNA from 1 species
UACGGAGGAUGCAAGCGUUAUCCGGAAUGAUUGGGCGUAAAGCGUCCGCAGGUGGCUGUGUAAGUCUGCUGUCAAAGAGCGAAGCUCAACUUCGUAAAGGCAGUGGAAACUACACGGCUAGAGUGCGUUCGGGGCAGAGGGAAUUCCUGGUGUAGCGGUGAAAUGCGUAGAGAUCAGGAAGAACACCGGUGGCGAAGGCGCUCUGCUAGGCUGCAACUGACACUGAGGGACGAAAGCUAGGGGAGCGAAUGGG